rnacentral:rRNA from 1 species
AUUGAACGCUGGCGGCAGGCCUAACACAUGCAAGUCGAACGAGUGGCGGACGGGUGAGUAAUGUCUGGGAAACUGCCGGAUGGAGGGGGAUAACUACUGGAAACGGUAGCUAAUACCGCAUACCAUCGGAUGUGCCCAGAUGGGAUUAGCUAGUAGGUGGGGUAAAGGCUCACUUAGGCAACGCUCCCUAGCUGGUCUGAGAGGAUGAUCAGCCACACGGUAACUGGGACACGGUCCAGACUCCUACGGGAGUCAGCAGUGGGGAAUAUUGCACAAUGGGCUAAAGCCUGAUGCAGCCAUGCCGCGUGUAUGAAGAAGGCCUUCGGGUUGUAAAGUACUUUCAGCGGGGAGGCGUUACCCGCAGAAGAAGCACCGGCUAACUCCGUGCCAGCAGCCGCGGUAAUUC